AGUCGAGCGGUAGCACAGAGAGCUUGCUCUCGGGUGACGAGCGGCGGACGGGUGAGUAAUGUCUGGGAAACUGCCUGAUGGAGGGGGAUAACUACUGGAAACGGUAGCUAAUACCGCAUAACGUCGCAAGACCAAAGAGGGGGACCUUCGGGCCUCUUGCCAUCAGAUGUGCCCAGAUGGGAUUAGCUAGUAGGUGGGGUAAUGGCUCACCUAGGCGACGAUCCCUAGCUGGUCUGAGAGGAUGACCAGCCACACUGGAACUGAGACACGGUCCAGACUCCUACGGGAGGCAGCAGUGGGGAAUAUUGCACAAUGGGCGCAAGCCUGAUGCAGCCAUGCCGCGUGUAUGAAGAAGGCCUUCGGGUUGUAAAGUACUUUCAGCGAGGAGGAAGGCAUUGAGGUUAAUAACCUCAGUGAUUGACGUUACUCGCAGAAGAAGCACCGGCUAACUCCGUGCCAGCAGCCGCGGU
rnacentral:rRNA from 1 species